rnacentral:rRNA from 1 species
GAGGCCGACAGGCGUAGGCGAUGGAUAACAGGUUGAUAUUCCUGUACCACCUAUAAUCGUUUUAAUCGAUGGGGGGACGCAGUAGGAUAGGCGAAGCGUGCGAUUGGAUUGCACGUCUAAGCAGUAAGGCUGAGUAUUAGGCAAAUCCGGUACUCGUUAAGGCUGAGCUGUGAUGGGGAGAAGACAUUGUGUCUUCGAGUCGUUGAUUUCACACUGCCGAGAAAAGCCUCUAGAUAGAAAAUAGGUGCCCGUACCGCAAACCGACACAGGUAGUCAAGAUGAGAAUUCUAAGGUGAGCGAGCGAACUCUCGUUAAGGAACUCGGCAAAAUGACCCCGUAACUUCGGGAGAAGGGGUGCUCUUUAGGGUUAACGCCCAGAAGAGCCGCAGUGAAUAGGCCCAAGCGACUGUUUAUCAAAAACACAGGUCUCUGCUAAACCGUAAGGUGAUGUAUAGGGGCUGACGCCUGCCCGGUGCUGGAAGGUUAAGAGGAGUGGUUAGCUUCUGCGAAGCUACGAAUCGAAGCCCCAGUAAACGGCGGCCGUAACUAUAACGGUCCUAAGGUAGCGAAAUUCCUUGUCGGGUAAGUUCCGACCCGCACGAAAGGCGUAACGAUUUGGGCACUGUCUCAACGAGAGACUCGGUGAAAUCAUAGUACCUGUGAAGAUGCAGGUUACCCGCGACAGGACGGAAAGACCCCGUGGAGCUUUACUGUAGCCUGAUAUUGAAAUUCGGCACAGCUUGUACAGGAUAGGUAGGAGCCUUUGAAACGUGAGCGCUAGCUUACGUGGAGGCGCUGGUGGG